rnacentral:ncRNA from 1 species
ACGAAAACAUGAAACAAGAAUAGUACUUUUUCAUCGAUUUUUAAAGAGAGUUAGCGUUUGGUGGGAGCUAAUAAAUAGAUGAAUUAGGAAUGGGCCUUGUGCGUGAUACCUUGAAAUUAAGUAGGGGUGAACGGGUGCUCCCGUUAUAGAGCGACUGCAAAUAUUGCAGUACUGAGAUAGGGAGAAUUCCCUAAAAUGAGGUGGCACCGCGAUAACUCGUCCUCUGA